rnacentral:lncRNA from 1 species
AUAGUUCUUUAAAAUAAUUGUCACCAACAUCUUCAAUCGUAAUACUCUUUUUAUCGUGGUUGUUCAAUGAAACCAUGUGCCAUCCAUUGUAAUAUCAAUUCAUCCUUUUGAAUCUUAUGGUCUUUUGGAAACAAAUCACAAUCCGUAAAACAUUGCUUCAAAUUAGAUGGGAGAUCAUUAAAACUCAUCCUUAGUAUUGAUUGAAUCUCGUUUUGUUGUUGCAUGAUUGUGAUAAGUUCGUUAUCCUUGAAUGACAACCAAUUUGUAUAUGUGUUUUUAAAAUAUAGAUGACGUCCAAUGAAUUUUAUUGCAAGAGGAGAGCCUUUCAACUUUGCUGCUAUCUCUCUACUGAUAGUUAUCUUCGUUCGAGAAUGUCAUUUUUCUAAAUAAUGUCCAAGAGUUGUCAUUGUCAAGUUCUUUUAAACGAUGCAAUGAAACUGUGUUAGAAGCAUGUGCAACUUUCUGGCUGCAUGUUGUUAUCAAAAUCCUACUUUCCUUGUCACCACCUACUAGAAAUCUUUUUAGAGAAAUUCAUUUCUUAUGGCUUUUGUUCCACACAUCAUCCAUGAUCAACAAGUACUUUUUUUCAUUAAUUUUUUCUCGAAGCAUACUUUGUAAUUUAUCUAAUUGAAGGGACUUAGGUUCCUUUUCUUCAAUAGACUCUAUAAUCUUUUCGACAAUUGUUUUUACAUCAAAUUCUUCCAAAAUACAUACCCGUAAUUUCAAUUGAAAAUGUUUGUUUAUCUUCUCAUCCUUACAGAUAGAUUGAGCAAAUGCAGUAUUUUCUAAUCCUCUCAUACCAACUAUGGAAACCACUUCAACAUUAUCCUUUUUGGUUUUGGUAUCCAGUAGAAAAUCUAUAAUAGCUUUCUUGUCAUCAUCCCUACCAACCACUUCUCCCUUGAGAAUAAAAGAGGAAGUCUCUCGUAUUUUCAUCGACUCGUCAUCUUGUAUCUCCCUCACAUGCACACGAAGGAGGAUCAGAUGAGCUUUAUCAGCAACAGUAGCAUCUAGUUUCUCUCUAACCUAUUUGAAGGGGUUGCCACUUGUAUGGGCACAAGAAAGUCACAUAAUUGCAUGUAAAGGUGAGUUUUCUCUCUGUACUUACUUGUGUUUUACUUUUUCUCUUUCCUUUGCGUGUAGAUCUUUGAUUACAAAAGAUUGAAGAGCUCUCAAGACCUUUCUUCUUAUUUCUUUCUUUGCUGUAAUUUCUAGUUUUACUUUACUGUUUCUUUGGAUGAUGGUGAGAUGAAGAGAGGAGGAAGGAGAAGAUGAACACAUAUCAUUUUAAAGUGGCUCGGCAAGUGCCUAUGUCCACUGUGCCUUUUGGGAGCAAGGUAUUAUUUCUUUUUCAUUUUUUUUGUGUAUGAAAUGUCAAAGUGAUACAGGGUAUUUAUAGACUUCCCUGUGUCCUUUAAUUAAACUCUAGUUAGACAAUAAGUUAAAACUAACAGAUUUAGCUGUACGUCUUUUACAAUAAAGGGAUAACUUUUUUAUUAAGAGUUUUCCACAAAUCUCAACCUUAAAAGAUUUAGAGUGAAAAUUUUGUGUAUAUCUUGACUCCCACAACAUUUGAUGCAAUCACUCCUUCUCGGGUUCCAAGAACCCGAUUGUUUGAAGACACAUGAGGAACUUCAUUCGAGUGACUACCUUCGUCAACAUACCAGUUGUGUUUUCACUAGUAUGAACCUUGAGCACUUCUACUUCCUGUUUUUCAAUUUAUUCUCUAAUGAAG